rnacentral:SRP_RNA from 1 species
GGCCGGUCCCCUCGGCGGCGAAGGCUUGUGAACCCGGUCAGGUCCGGAAGGAAGCAGCCGCAGCAGGCGAUUCGGGUGCCGGGGUGCGUCCGGCUCGA